rfam:Volvox carteri f. nagariensis unplaced genomic scaffold VOLCAscaffold_13, whole genome shotgun sequence.
CCCGCUGAACUUAAGCAUAUCAUUAAGCGCUGGAAAAGAAACUAACCAGGAUUCCCCUAGUAACGGCGAGCGAACCGGGAAUAGCCCAACUUGAAAAUCUCCCCUUGGAGAAUUGUAGUCUACAGAAGCGCCCUCAUGGGCUGGCGGAACUCAAGUCGGAUUGAGUGCCGCGUCAGAGAGGUUGAUAACCCCCUCGUCAGUUCCUGCCUAGUCCUCUCACGACGAGGUGCUUUCCACGGCAUGCGGUUGGGAGACUGCAUUCAACAAUAUUGAAAACGAGGUCC